GGCAUGCUCAGAUCGAAGGAGAAAAGUUCAAUCCCAGAUGUAUCAACUAUAUAUGCAAGAAACUAUGAUCUAGGCUGACUCGACAACUCCCAAUGUGCCCACAGUAAUCUGUAUAAUAUUUAUAAAAUAAUAAAUUUACACGGCUAAGCAACAGAACCUUCAUUUUGAUUUAAUAAUCAGUAAAUAGACCAAAUAAUCAGGGUGCAGAAACUGAAACAUAACAUCUACAUCCAGAAUUAUUUGCUGUGAUGACAGAGAGUCUGCAAGUGUCUUUCAAGUCUCAGCAGCUCUGUAACAAGUUGAUUUAUGUCAUUUAUGAGAUCUGUAAUGAAAUCAACAGAACAUAGGAAGAUCACUGCAGUCUGUAUGUUAGAGUAAAUAGGAAUAAUACCAUAUUGUAUACUCACAUAAGGUGUUACCUAUGUACCCUAUAUAAUCAACCCAUGAGGCCCAAUGCAAUAUAUAAAAUAUUCCACCAAUUAUAUUUUCCUUCAUGAUAUCAUUCGCCUAGGUUUAGAUUCUAACCCUAGCCGCCGCCGCUUCCGCACUGCGCGCCCCCGGUGAGAGGUCGAUCUCCGCCGGGGACAGCGCCCCUCUUUAGGCGCCCGAUCCUAUUGAUCCGGCUGCCAUCGUCGUCGCACCGGGAUCUCCCCUACGUCAUCGCCAAGUUGCCGCCGCUGCCUUGUCCCCGGGCCCGUCGCCGGCUGUCGCCAUCAACACCUGAUCUUCAUCGCAUGGAGGCGGAUGGAUCUCGCCCCGUCCCGUGCCGCCGUGGUGGCGGCCAGGGCCGGCCACACGCCUCGACCCUGCGCUGCCAAGGAGGCAGCCAGAUCUGGCGUGUCGCUAUUGCUGAGCGGAUCUUCCCAUCUCCACCUCGUCGAUCUGCGUUGGCGCCUUUGACCCCGUGUGUUCGUGACCCGCCGUGCGCCUUGCACCGCCCGAUCGGGACGCACCGCUGCCGUCGUGUCGUCUUGCUGGGUACACCCGAUCUGCUGCUGCUGCUGUAUUUUUUUGGUUUGCCUUAUCACUGAUUGGGAUUGAGUCGCCCACCGCCCGUCGACCUCGCGCGUUCUACUACGCCAUCGGCAUCGACUUCAUCGACACCGUCUCCGAGUACUACGUGCACCUUCUCCGAGCAACAGGGCUGCUGUUGUGUCGCGUCAUCGGGCCACAACAUCGUUGUCCGUGUGUACGCUUCGUCGUUGCAUCUCCAUCGCCGUCAUCUGUGCAUCGAUGACUGUGCUGCGCAAUCCCUGCUGCGUCAUCCGUCUGCAUAAGGUCUUCGUCCUGCUGAUUGGGUCUUCGUCAUCGAGCUGCCACUACCCACGUCGUCGCUGAGACCUGCUCGCCGACGCGUCUUCUCCCGCAUUGCUUCUUCUUCGUCCAACACAACCACACGGAUGGGGCCCUCUCCCUUGUACGCUUGGUAUUGGCAACACUGACGCGUGCUUUCGUCCCCGACGCGUUGCUGGAUCUAGCAAAUCUAGCUACGCCUCGGCGCUCAGGCGACUUGACUGCAUUGACUUCGGCAUCGACCCUCCCGUUCCUACCCCGUCUGCCUCGAUUAUGUCGUCGCCCUUCUUCUACGACGGUCCUGAUUGCAUCGACUUCGGCAUCGCCCCCUCCCACGACGACUGCCUCGACGUGUCUCCGUCAUUACCAUGGCGCCCCUUGUGUGCGUGCAGCUCCAUCGACACGCAACCCGAUCAGAACUACGUCGACCUCGGCCAUCUUCAGCACGACUUCUUCAACCACGGCUACUGCAUCCUUACGCUCGGCUACCUCGACAUCGGCACAAAGGGCUACCGCCUUGCAUGAGGACUCAUCGGCUCCUUCUUCAGCCACAGCAUACGCAGCGCAUCGACUGUUAUGACUGCGGGGGAUGUUACUUAUUAGCUUCUUCUCUAGUCUUACCGUCUGUAACGCUCCCACUGUGACUGCGGGGGAUGUUAGAGUAAAUAGGAAUAGUACCCUAUUGUGUACCCACAUAAGGUGUUAUCUAUUUACCCUAUAUAAUCAACCCAUGAGGCCCAAUACAAUAUAUAAAAUAUUCCACCAAUUAUAUUUUCCUUCACCGUAGACAGUAACUUUUUUAAAAACAAAUCAGUCUUGACAGUUUCAGGCUUCCAGCAUGUGGCAAGAUUAGUAAUAAUCAGAGGAGGUUACCUGUCUGCCAAUUCUGGCAAUGAGGCCGAUGACCACCAGCCAAGCACAGCACCAAUAUGCCAACGGAACCCAGACUGGACCAGCUAAAUGAGAGCUCAGAAAUAGAGAGAACCGGUGGUCUGCUCUAAAAAAGAAGAACUGUGUCAGUAUUCAGUUGCAAACAUAUGUGAUGAGAAACAAACAGAAAAGCCUUCCUUGGAAAAGAAGUGAAUUAUAAAGGUGCAAAUCAUGCUACGCGCUUGCUAAUAGCAGCUUAUUGGAGUAUGCCAUCUAUUCACAUUCUUUAUGUCCAAUGGAUUCAGAUUAUAGGAAGGUAAUCCCAUUAUUUUCAUACUAUCGUCAAUUAGCUGAAAGUAAUUCGAUAGAAAUUACAAGAGUAAAUUUUUGAUCUCUAGUUGCAAAUUCUAAGGUUUGCCACUCUGCAGUGCAUCACAAUUCAUACUCUGCAACUAUACCGAUGUAAAGCAUCUACAAGAAUAUUAUGGAUAAUAUUUUGUUUCGGACACUGUAAAAAUCGAUGUCCAGCUCAGGAGUGCAACAAAUCAUACUUCGAUGAGCACUGCGGCCUAAGUACAAUCACAACAACCUAUACUGCAGCUACAAAAUGGCAGAACACAGGUACUAUGUCAUUAUAAAAGAUUAAGGAAUUUGAACAGAGAGACAAUAACACAAACACAUUACGGAUAUGCAAUAAUACAACCUCCUUGCCCCACAAUACACCAGACAAGCAAAAGCAUAAGAAGAGUAGCAGCUGUAUUACCUCGUACCAUCUUUCCUACAAAAUCGAUGCUUUCCCUAAUGAAUUGAUGUCUUUUUUUUUAAGGAGGCAAAGCCUCUGCUUUUAAGAAAGCAAGUAAUGAAUUGAUGUCUCACCCAAACUAACAAAAAUAUAGUCGAAAUUCAGCUUGCCUACCAAAAGUUAACACCACCCCCUAUGGGAUCAAGCACGUCAUGCCCCACAUCAACAUCCUCAUCGUUUGAAUCACGCGUUUGCUUCCGGAUUCGAGCUCGUUUCUUGCUGACUGGUAGAAGGAAGGGCUAGAAAU
rnacentral:lncRNA from 1 species